AACGAACGCUGGCGGCAUGCCUAACACAUGCAAGUCGAACGAGACCUUCGGGUCUAGUGGCGCACGGGUGCGUAACGCGUUGGAACCUGCCCUUAGGUUCGGAAUAACUCCCCGAAAGGGGUGCUAAUACCGGAUAAUUUCUUCUGACCAAAGAUUUAUCGCCUUUGGUUGGGCCCGCGUUGGAUUAGCUUGUUGGUAGGGUAAAAGCCUACCAAGGCGACUAUCCAUAGCUGGUAUGAGAGGAUGAUCAGCCACACUGGGACUGAGACACGGCCCAGACUCCUACGGGAGGAAGCAGAGGGGAAAAAUGGACAAUGGGCGAAAGCCUGAAACAGCAAUGCCGCGGGAGUGAUGAAGGCCUUAGGGAUGUAAAGCUCUUUUACCCGGGAUGAUAAUGACAGAACCGGGAGAAUAAGCACCGGCUAACUCCGU
rnacentral:rRNA from 1 species